rnacentral:rRNA from 1 species
ACGGGGGGGGCAAGCGUUGUUCGGAAUUACUGGGCGUAAAGGGCGCGUAGGCGGUUUGCUAAGUUGGAUGUGAAAACUCUGGGCUUAACCCAGAGCCUGCAUCCAAAACUGGCUGACUUGAGUACUGGAGGGGAAAGCGGAAUUCCUGGUGUAGCGGUGAAAUGCGUAGAUAUCAGGAGGAACACCGGUGGCGAAGGCGGCUUUCUGGACAGUAACUGACGCUGAGGCGCGAAAGCUAGGGGAGCAAACAGGA